rnacentral:rRNA from 1 species
AACGCUAGCUACAGGCUUAACACAUGCAAGUCGAGGGGAAACGAUAUUGGAAGCUUGCUUCCGAUAGGCGUCGACCGGCGCACGGGUGAGUAACGCGUAUCCAACCUGCCCACCACUUGGGGAUAACCUUGCGAAAGUAAGACUAAUACCCAAUGAUAUCUCUAGAAGACAUCUGAAAGGGAUUAAAGAUUUAUCGGUGAUGGAUGGGGAUGCGUCUGAUUAGCUUGUUGGCGGGGUAACGGCCCACCAAGGCUACGAUCAGUAGGGGUUCUGAGAGGAAGGUCCCCCACAUUGGAACUGAGACACGGUCCAAACUCCUACGGGAGGCAGCAGUGAGGAAUAUUGGUCAAUGGACGAGAGUCUGAACCAGCCAAGUAGCGUGCAGGAUGACGGCCCUAUGGGUUGUAAACUGCUUUUAUAAGGGAAUAAAGUGAGUCUCGUGAGACUUUUUGCAUGUACCUUAUGAAUAAGGACCGGCUAAUUCCGUGCCAGCAGCCGCGGUAAUACGGAAGGUCCGGGCGUUAUCCGGAUUUAUUGGGUUUAAAGGGAGCGUAGGCCGGAGAUUAAGCGUGUUGUGAAAUGUAGAUGCUCAACAUCUGCACUGCAGCGCGAACUGGUUUCCUUGAGUACGCACAAAGUGGGCGGAAUUCGUGGUGUAGCGGUGAAAUGCUUAGAUAUCACGAAGAACUCCGAUUG